GGCUCCGUGGCUCAAUUGGAUAGAGCAUCUGACUACGGAUCAGAAGGUUGCAGGUUCGAGUCCUGCCGGAGUCA
rnacentral:tRNA from 1 species